rnacentral:SRP_RNA from 1 species
CGGUGCGCUCCCCACCGCCGAGUGGGAGCUGCAGGUUUACUCGCUGUUGGAACUGCUGGUGGACGUCAUGGCCGAGGAACUGCACCAGGCGAGCAAGGCAGGCCUUCACUUCGAAGCGGGCGUGGACCUCACCG